GUUUUGGAGUGCAGGCGUGAAUAGUCCUUUCUGUCCUGCUUUGAGUACUGCUGUUGGGUGCCUUGGGGGGACCUUAAGGGAGCUCGGAAGUUGAGACGUGGUGAGUGCGAGAUCACUGCCCACAAAGGGGAGGAGCAGGCGGAUGAACAGCCAGAGCUGCAAUGGUGGAUCCUCCUCCAGGGCUGCAUGGGACGACAGAUAGAUGAGGCUCUAGGACGGGCACAAAUGCUACCCGAAUGCAAACCACUCCGGAGAUCUGUAAAAGGACUGGCCCCGGACAGGAAGCACACUUUAAACUAGAGGCGGGAGUCAAAGCCCCGGUGAAGAUUCUGUGACGGUUCAUUGUAUAAUUUAUGAUGAUGAAGAUUGAGUUGCAUUUUGCGGAAAAGAGAUGUUGAGAUAUCUAAGGCAUUGAGAAAUCUGUCAUGCAGACAUGCACACAGGGAGAGGGAGUACCCAAACUGAUGAGAACUUACAGGAAUUGGACCAUCUAAGCCCUUAGAAAGUGAAGUCCACUGUGUCUCAAACAAAGGAUGGCAAGUGUUCAUGACAUCAAUACUACCCAAGGCUUCAGAGUCAUUGGAUUGCAGGAUGCAGUGACUUAUGAUGAUGUGCGUGUGAACUUCACUGAGGAAGAGUGGGAUUUGCUGGAUCCUUCCCAGAAAAGUCUCUAUGAAGAGGUGAUGCUAGAGACAUACCAGAACAUCACUGCUAUAGGUAAGACUGAAUUUCCUCUUGCUUUUCUGAAUAAGGGACAAAUAUUUCUUUGUUAUUGAUCCUCUGUUGUUUCAAUUGAAGAGGAGGAAGAAUGAGCUCUCUAUGGUUUCAAUUCAGCACUAUUCCAUCCAUCUUUUGGCAGAGUCAGAGCCCCGGUGAAGAUUCUGUGAGAGUUCAUUGUAUUGAAUUUAUGAUGAUGAAGAUUGAGUUGCAUUUUGCGGAAAAGAGAUGUUGAGAUACCUAAGGCAUUGAGAAAUCUGUCAUGCAGACAUGCACACAGGGAGAGGGAGUACCCAAAAUGAUGAGAAGUUACAGGAAUUGGACCAUCUAAGCCCUUAGAAAGUGAAGUCCACUGUGUCUCAAACAAAG
rnacentral:lncRNA from 1 species